UUUGUCAGAGAUCAUCUGUGCCUCUCUGGCCUCAGCUCUGAAGUCCAACCCCUCCCAUCUGAGAGAGCUGGAGCUGAGCUACAACAAGCUGCAGGAUUCAGGAGUGAAGCUGCUGUCUGAUCUGAAGGAGAGUCCACAUUGCAGACUUGAGACUCUGAGCUGGAGGUGGUCUCAGUCAGAGUGUGAGGGAUCAGAAAGGUGGUGGUGUUGAGAGAGGAUCAGCUGUGUCCUGAUGAUCCAGAGAGGUUGAAGCAGCAGCAUCAGCUUGUGUGUGGAGAGGCUCUGACUGGGCCAUGUUACUGGGAGGUAGAGUGGAGAGGAGAGCUUCAUCCAGCAGUGACUGACAGAGGAAUCCCAACAGUGCUGCAGUCUGAACUGCUCUGCUGCUGCUCUGUCCUUCUACACAGUCUCUGCAGACAGCAAGAGACUCCUCCACUCCUUCUGCUCCACACUCAGACACCUCCCUCCACCUGGACCUGAUUAGUCUGUUUUUAAUUCAUUCAGAUGUUCUGAACCCAAAGAGCCUCUGCAGAUUAGUUCUGUUUGACAACAGAACUGCAGAUUAACACUUAUUUAAAUCGACUUUUCACACAUCAACCUUCGAAGUUCGACCACCCCUUUUAAAAUUCUCCAUAUUGAAUCAUAUAUUGUUUGAAGCUUGUUUUCUAGAGCACAAUGUUAGCUGGUCCAAAUCUGGCCAAUAUCUAUAAGAGAUGUGUUCAUGUGACAGUCAUUUUUAUUCUCAGUGUGUUUUUGUUGCUUUACUAAUCUUAAACAGUCGUUUUCUCACAAUGACAUGUUUCCUGUACACUAAGUCAUUUUUCUUAUAGCAAUAUAUCUUUUAUAAUUUUCAUUUUAUCUGUAAACAUGUAGAAUAAAAGGCUCCGUCCCACAGAUGAGUGGUGUUACAGCCGACUGUCGAUAAAGGGAAAACGAGCCAUGAGAGGCUGAACAUGGAGAAAACUGAUGAUCCACCACAUUUCUAACAAUCCGUUUAUUUUCUAUUUCACAACGAUGCACAACAGUUCCACUUAACAGCUGUUUCCAUACGUCUGUGCAAAGAAAAGGCCGGAGCACAAGACAAGUCAACAUGCACCAUUAAAGAUCUAAAAUGACCCUACCCCCAUGAUCACUGCAGCCAGGUGAGGUGAACAGGUGAGUGCACCUGCUUCUAACUGCGUCCUACACACCCACAUACACACCCACCACCCAAGUGUCAAUCAAGUGUGCAAAUACAAAUCAAGGACAUGAAGAUGCAAAAACUUCCAAAUGUGGCUCCUACAGGUGGUUUAUUUUGAAUAAAUCCAUGUAAAAACUAUAUUUUGAUAAAGCAUUCUGUAAAUGUCUGAACAUUUGGUUUAUUAUCACAAUAAAACAACAAAAAUCCA